rnacentral:rRNA from 1 species
UGAGGAAUAUUGGUCAAUGGGCGAGAGCCUGAACCAGCCAAGUAGCGUGCAGGAUGACGGCCCUAUGGGUUGUAAACUGCUUUUAUGUGGGGAUAAAGUGCGUGACGUGUCAUGCAUUGCAGGUACCACAUGAAUAAGGACCGGCUAAUUCCGUGCCAGCAGCCGCGGUAAUACGGAAGGUCCGGGCGUUAUCCGGAUUUAUUGGGUUUAAAGGGAGCGUAGGCUGUCUAUUAAGCGUGUUGUGAAAUUUACCGGCUCAACCGGUGGCUUGCAGCGCGAACUGGUCGACUUGAGUUUGCAGGAAGUAGGCGGAAUUCAUGGUGUAGCGGUGAAAUGCUUAGAUAUCAUGACGAACUCCGAUUGCGCAGGCAGCUUACUGUAGCAUAACUGACGCUGAUGCUCGAAAGUGCGGGUAUCAAACAGG